rnacentral:lncRNA from 1 species
UCGAAUUCUAAAGAGGAAUCCAAACCUCUCGCGACUGUUUGAUUUAAUUUUCCCGUGAAUGAAAAUGUGAGAAUGGAGAUUUUCGUGGAAAUAAACGACAUCUCGAUUGAUCUCGAUGUAAUUUUUACUCAGCCUCGCAAGUUUGCCAAGCCACCUCGUAGAAUUUCUACGAGAUAGAAAUGGUCGAUACGCCACGUUCUCUGCAAGAGACCGUCUAUCGAGAGAGUCCAUCGAGGAGAGAAUUAAACGGCGGCAAGUCGCGACGAUAGUCUAUCAAUAUAGAUCAGCACAUAGCCGUGAUUGCAUAUUAUAUCCGCCAGCUAUCGCCCCUUAACGAUCGCGGAAUCAUUGCGGAGCUCAUUGACGAGCACCAUUGUCGAGUUUGCUGAGCGAUUCCGUUCUCGUUCCGCCGCGAGGUUUUCCUCGGCGCGCGGCUUGAAAGCCGACUGGUUUUUGUGACGCGCGCGCGCGGAUCUCGUUAAAUUCCAUCUUGUUCUAUCGACGAUCGGCGAACGAGAUCCCCGUGGAUCCUGCUUGCCGUGCGCAAGACGCGCGUGUACUUGUAUAUCUCCUCGCCGUUUGUAUCCUCGCGUAUAUUGCAGGUGUGGCUUGCGACAGGAUGUGUCAACGCUUGUGGAAGCUGGUCACGUACCUACGUGCGCUGCGAUUGUGACCAGUGCAUUAACCCUGCGAGGAUGUAAUGAACAAGACGACCUGUCGAAACCUCUUUCUUUUCUCCGGCGAUACAUCUUCGGACCUCGCAAAAGGAGUUCAAUGCGAUAAAUCUCCCAAGUGGAAUGUCCUUUGGUUUGGUCAGCGGGAAAUGUACGACGCGAGGAGUCAUGAUCAAAGUCCCUAUCGCUUGAAAUUUACCGUCAAAUAUUGUUCACUAGUUGAGAAGUUUAUCAUUUCCGGCAUUUCCGCGAUAUCGAGUAUCUCUCAUUUGCGUACAGCGAUCAUUUUAUGUCUUCAAACGAUUUUGGGCGACUGGAAGGUACAAAGGUGCGAAGAUGCAAAUUGUGCUCGUGGAGAAAAAAGAACGGUGGCAGUUUCAAUGAUCGAGAGCUUUAUUAUACGCUUCAUUUGUCGUCGGGAAAAAGUGAUCGGCCGACGUUUGUCCAUGGCACUAAAUCAAAGAAGAGCUAUUAAGGCGGAGCGAAUAAUUAAUCUAUCUUCUUCAGGACGAAUUUUAAUCAGCGAAACGCGCGCAUGAGCGUCUCAAGGCCGGUAAUUAAUUUCGGAUUUAAAUACGGCAUGCUCGAAGCGUUAAAAUCAGACCAAAGAAAUUACAAAAUGAAUUUAAGAGGAAAUGGAGCAAGAGGGGAGAGCACAGAAAGAGUUACAGACCAAUUUCGUCGCAAACACUUUUGCGAUUCGUCAUGGUGCUACGACGGAACGUUAACCGUACCACGACUAGAGCGCAAACUUUCCUUAAUACCCUUUCCAAGAAGCCGAUCUAAUUUGGUUCUCUGUGCAGCGAUAAUAGAACUGCCACCGCGUAUACAACAUGCAUUUAAUCUUAAUAAUCAUAAUUCAAUUGUUGUGCGAAUCAGAAUCAUAAUAUGUCUUUGUUUUUUUUUUUUAAUAAUGUUUGUAACAUAUAUUUGUUAAUUAUAUUAAAAACUCCAAACAAGUGGGACAAAUAUUUUUAAUAGAGAUUUAUUUUUCUUUUUUGAGGGGAUUCGAAGGAAAUCUUGUUGCCGAUCGUGUAGGGGUAAACGACCUAAUGGCAUCUAUUAUUGCAAUCGCAAAGAUAUACCGCUCGUGCAGAGUGCCAUAAAACGCGCGUGAUGGAAUAUAAGGUAAGCGAAAUCUUAGCGACCGGAUAACAACGUAAGAAUCUGCACGCCGAUAAAGUUAAAUACGAUGGACGCGAAUGUGUGUGUGUAGUAUCUAAACGGGACUAAAUCUCGUGAUGCGAGUUUCUAUCUAGCGCGCGAGAAAUUGAUAUUCGAUACUUUCCACAGAGGGUGGUCGACCGAUGGAUAUAGCUUGAUAUACUUUGUUACAAGUGCCUAUCCGCCGUAAUGCCGAUCGAUGAGGAAACAACAGGCACAUUUAUUUUCGCAAUAAAUAGAGACCACCUCUCUCGCUCAAGCCGCUCGUGUCGCAUAAGAAAUCAUAAAGAGCACGAUUUCAGUGCGAUCGAUCGCAUUAACUCACCACGGAUGACAAACCGUUUUGCGUCCACUCGAGCGAGAACGUUCCGACGAGCGAUAACGCGACGUAAUUAUUUCAUCCGCGGCUCCUGAUCAAACGUGAUUCAUGUGCACGUAUAUAGAAGGUACUGCGCGUUAAAGCGUGAAGCAAUUUCACGAGCGAGUAACUGGACGAUCUCGGAAAUUGGCAUACUGAAAAUUGGCGCGAGAUGCUCCCCGCUGUAAGAAUUCGGAGAAACGCAAGAAAGAUUUAUGAACUUUAUGUGGAAGCAAUCUUUCACUUUUAUAUGCAAUUUGUAAUAUAUAUGUAUAUGAAUAUACGUGCAAUUUGAUAUGAAUGCAAGCUAUAACUACUUUGCGAUUCAGAGUUUCAGACUCGGUUGUAUACGCUCGUAUCCGAGAUUCUCGUUUCUUCACGAUCACGCGAGAGAGGUAUAAGGGGUAUUUGUCGGCCGGUAAAUUGGUCGGCAUGCGAAGGAGCCCAGAACCGGCGCUGGUUGCCAGGAAUACCAGCGCCCAUUCAACAAUGGGCCACUCCGUCGAGAAAAAUCGCCACACACGUAGCCGUACAUCUCUUGGUCAAGAGGAGAGGAGAGCGGAGAAAAGAAGAGCUUGAAGGAACAUUAACAAACAAUGGUCCUGUUGGUUCGCGCAUGUGUGAGGAGUGACAUUCGUUCUGGACAAGCCAGGGACGAAGAGGAACAGCUGAAUCAAGGAAAAAGAGAUUACAAGGAUUAAAAAACGGAAGCGGCGAGAAGUGUCCUUCGCGAGGCAUUUACAAAUUCGAUUUUUCUCAAAGUUUUUGUACCUUAUAUCGAUUUCCUAAUUCUCCUUCCUCAUUCUGAUCUAAAACUUGUACAUUUGCAAAGAUAACAUUUUUUUAGAUGAAUAUCUGUAGACACACACGCACACACAUUUAUUGAAGACAGAAAGAAAUUCGCUGUUGCGUAUGUGUAAUGUCUAAGCGUGUGGAAGGAGCAUUUAAUCAUCUCACGGUACGCAAUUAUUCUAAUGAAGGGACCCGACGCGACUCACACAUGAGAAGAAAUUCCCGUCGACCGAGAGAGGAGCCAGAGAAACACUUUGCAAGCGAAUGUUGUGACGGUCACAAUUAUUUAGCCGACGCAGAAGCAUUCCUCUCGUAAUUUCCGUGAUACAAUAAAGAUUCUCUUUCUUCCAAUCUUCUACUCUCUCACUCUUCCCACCAUAGUCAGCUUCUCCAUGGCCAUUUGCGCGGUAUUUGUCGUAUACCGUUGACCGACAUCGUUUCGUUUUCCGCGAUAAUUGCAACAAUGAGGCGACCACUUGACUCGUGCCACCGGGCCCUUAAAGCGGGGUCCCGCAUCAAUGUCCUUCCGUUGUAACUUGAUGGUUCUGCGUGCACGGCAAUUGUGAGAAACACGCAAACAAUAGAA